CCUAUACGGGGCGCAGCAGGCGCGAACACUUUACAAUGCUGGAAACGGCGAUAGGGGGACUUCGAGUGCCGGAUACAAUCUUGGCUGUCGUCGUGUCUAAUCACGGCAUAGCAAGGGCCGGGCAAGACCGGUGCCAGGUUCCGCCGCGGUAACACCGGCGGCUCGAGUGGUAACCGCUAUUAUUGGGUCUAAAGGGUCUGUAGCCGGCUGAAAAAGUCUCUUGGGAAAUCCGGCCGCUCAACGGUCGGGCUUUCAGGAGAUACUCUUCAGCUCGAGGCCGGGAGAGGUGAGAGGUACUUCAUGGGUAGGGGUGAAAUCUUGUAAU
rnacentral:rRNA from 1 species